GUUGACCUCGAAUCAGGUAGGAUUACCCGCU
rnacentral:rRNA from 1 species